UACGGAGGGUGCGAGCGUUUAAUCGGAAUUACUGGGCGUAAAGCGCACGCAGGCGGUUUGUUAAGCUAGAUGUGAAAGCCCCGGGCUCAACCUGGGAUGGUCAUUUAGAACUGGCAGACUAGAGUCUUGGAGAGGGGAGUGGAAUUCCAGGUGUAGCGGUGAAAUGCGUAGAUAUCUGGAGGAACAUCAGUGGCGAAGGCGACUCCCUGGCCAAAGACUGACGCUCAUGUGCGAAAGUGUGGG
rnacentral:rRNA from 1 species